rnacentral:tRNA from 1 species
GCCUGGCUGGCUGAGUCAGUGGAGCAUAUGACUGUUGAUCUGGGGGUUGUGGGUUUGAGCCCCACGUUGGGUG